AAGGAUUUAGGUUAAAAUAAACCUGUAACCUUCAAAGUUACUAAUAAAGUUAAACUUUAAGCCUUA
rnacentral:tRNA from 1 species